GCAACAUGGUCUUCGUGGUGGGAAUGGAGGAGCAGAGGAGGAUGGAGGUGGGUGGUGGGAGCAGAGUAGCAGGAGUUCCAGGUCCAGGCGACGCUCGUGGAGUGGAGAAGCUCGUCGUCCAGCAUCACCAUCCCCAAUCUAGAUCUGAGAUAGAAAAGAAGAGAAAUAAUCUUGUGGAAUUUCUUAUCUGAGAUAGAAAAGAAGAGAAAGAUCUUGUGGAAGAGCUUGACGAAAAAGAAAGGGAUCUGAGAUAGAAAAGAAGAGAAAUAAUCUUGUGGAAUUUCAUAUCUGAGAAAAGAAGAGAAAGAUUCUUGUGGAAGAGCAGCUUGACAAAAAAGAAAGGGGCGGCACAACUGUACACCACCAAGAACAGG